GUGGGGUAACGGCUCACCAAGGCAUCGACGGGUAGCUGGUCUGAGAGGACGAUCAGCCACACUGGAACUGAGACACGGUCCAGACUCCUACGGGAGGCAGCAGUGGGGAAUCUUGCACAAUGGGCGAAAGCCUGAUGCAGCGACGCCGCGUGGGGGAUGAAGGCCUUAGGGUCGUAAACCCCUUUCAGUAGGGACGAAAAUGACGGCACCUACAGAAGAAGCUCCGGCCAACUACGUGCCAGCAGCCGCGGUAAGACGUAGGGGGCGAGCGUUGUCCGGAAUUAUUGGGCGUAAAGAGCUCGUAGGCGGUUCCGUAAGUCGGAUGUGAAAACUCAGGGCUCAACCCUGAGACGCCAUCCGAUACUGCGGUGACUCGAAUCCAGUAGGGGAGUGUGGAAUUCCUGGUGUAGCGGUGAAAUGCGCAGAUAUCAGGAGGAACACCUAUGGCGAAGGCAGCACUCUGGGCUGGUAUUGACGCUGAGGAGCGAAAGCAUGGGUAGCAAACAGGAUUAGAUACCCUGGUAGUCCAUGCCGUAAACGGUGGGCACUAGGUGUGGGGACUUUCAACGGUUUCCGUGCCGAAGCUAACGCAUUAAGUG
rnacentral:rRNA from 1 species